rnacentral:rRNA from 1 species
AGUGAACGCUGGCGGUAGGCCUAACACAUGCAAGUCGAACGGCAGCACAGUAAGAGCUUGCUCUUACGGGUGGCGAGUGGCGGACGGGUGAGGAAUACAUCGGAAUCUACUUUUUCGUGGGGGAUAACGUAGGGAAACUUACGCUAAUACCGCAUACGACCUACGGGUGAAAGCAGGGGAUCUUCGGACCUUGCGCGAUUGAAUGAGCCGAUGUCGGAUUAGCUAGUUGGCGGGGUAAAGGCCCACCAAGGCGACGAUCCGUAGCUGGGCUGAGAGGAUGAGCAGCCACACUGGAACUGAGACACGGUCCAGACUCCUACGGGAGGCAGCAGUGGGGAAUAUUGGACAAUGGGCGCAAGCCUGAUCCAGCCAUACCGCGUGGGUGAAGAAGGCCUUCGGGUUGUAAAGCCCUUUUGUUGGGAAAGAAAAGCAGCAGGUUAAUACCCCGCUGUUCUGACGGUACCCAAAGAAUAAGCACCGGCUAACUUCGUG